rnacentral:misc_RNA from 1 species
ACGAGUUAGGGUCCUCUGGGCCCGACCUCCCAACCCUUUGUUUACCAAACCAUUGUUGCUUCGGCGGACCCGUCUUGAUUGACCGCCGGAGGAUCGCUGUGAGGCGUCCUCUGGCCAGUGUUCGCCGAUAGCCUAACCUCCUAAAAUCUGAAUCAAUCGUGUCUUAUGUCUCAGUCAAUGAUAAAUUAAAGCA